GUGUCAGCAGCCGCGGUAAUACAGAGGGUGCGAGCGUUGUCCGGAAUCACUGGGCGUAAAGGGCGCGUAGGCGGUUUUUCAAGCGUGCGGUGAAAGCUCAGGGCUCAACCCUGAGUCGGCCGUGCGAACUGGAAGACUGGAGCACGGUAGAGGCACAUGGAAUUCCGGGUGUAGCGGUGGAAUGCGUAGAGAUCCGGAAGAACACCGGUGGCGAAGGCGGUGUGCUGGGCCGUUGCUGACGCUGAGGCGCGACAGCGUGGGGAGCAAACAGGAUUAGAAACCCCGGUAGUCC
rnacentral:rRNA from 1 species